GGAAACAGGUGCUAAUACCGUAUAACACUAUUUUCCGCAUGGAAGAAAGUUGAAAGGCGCUUUUGCGUCACUGAUGGAUGGACCCGCGGUGCAUUAGCUAGUUGGCGAGGUAACGGCUCACCAAGGCCACGAUGCAUAGCCGACCUGAGAGGGUGAUCGGCCACACUGGGACUGAGACACGGCCCAGACUCCUACGGGAGGCAGCAGUAGGGAAUCUUCGGCAAUGGACGAAAGUCUGACCGAGCAACGCCGCGUGAGUGAAGAAGGUUUUCGGAUCGUAAAACUCUGUUGUUAGAGAAGAACAAGGAUGAGAGUAGAACGUUCAUCCCUUGACGGUAUCUAACCAGAAAGCCACGGCUAACUACGUGCCAGCAGCCGCGGUAAUACGUAGGCGGCAAGCGUUGUCCGGAUUUAUUGGGCGUAAAGCGAGCGCAGGCGGUUUCUUAAGUCUGAUGUGAAAGCCCCCGGCUCAACCGGGGAGGGUCAUUGGAAACUGGGAGACUUGAGUGCAGAAGAGGAGAGUGGAAUUCCAUGUGUAGCGGUGAAAUGCGUAGAUAUAUGGAGGAACACCAGUGGCGAAGGCGGCUCUCUGGUCUGUAACUGACGCUGAGGCUCGAAAGCGUGGGGAGCGAACAGGAUUAGAUACCCUGGUAGUCCACGCCGUAAACGAU
rnacentral:rRNA from 1 species